rnacentral:rRNA from 1 species
UGCCAGCAGUCGCGGUUAAACCAAGAAAUUUAGUCAUUCUUUAACGGUAAAAAGACAGUUAAGUGUAAAAUGACCAUAAGAUCCUUAGUACAGGAGUAAAAUCUAUAUACUAAAAGUUAUCCUAUAUGUGGUUUAUUUUUGGAUACUGAAUCUGUGACAACUUUAAGGGAAACUGGGAUUGGAUACCCCAUUAUUUUUAGUAGUAAAUUGAUUUAAGUUUACCAGAGUACUACGAACCAAAAAGUUUAAAACUCAAAGGGCUUGGCGGUGUUUUAGACCUCUCAGGGGAACCUGUCUCGUAAUCGACAAUCCACGUUAGACCUGACCCUUUAUGGCGAAUCAGCCUGUAUACCGUCGUCGUCAGGUAACUUUUUAAAAUAUAGUAGUUAGCAAGAUAAUAUCUUAAUUAAAACGUCAGAUCAAGGUGCAGCUGAUGAAAGGGAGAGGAUGGGUUACAAUUAUAUAUUUAUAAUUACGAAAAAGAUUCGGAAGAGAAUUCUUAAGAAGGAGGACUUGAAAGUAAUUUUGAUUAUAUAAGCAAAAUGAAUUAGGCUCUGAAACGUGCACACAUCGCCCGCCACUCU